ACAGCCUACGGGACGCAGCAGUGGGGAAUAUUGGGCAAUGGGCGCAAGCCUGACCCAGCAAUGCCGCGUGAAGGAAGAAGGCCCUCGGGUUGUAAACUUCUUUUAUCGGGGACGAAGGAUGUGACGGUACCUGAUGAAUAAGCUCCGGCUAACUACGUGCCAGCAGCCGCGGUAAUACGUAGGGAGCAAGCGUUAUCCGGAUUUACUGGGUGUAAAGGGCGCGUAGGCGGGAUGGCAAGUCAGAUGUGAAAUCCGGGGGCUCAACCCCUGAACUGCAUUUGAAAAUGUCGUUCUUGAGUACUGGG
rnacentral:rRNA from 1 species